rnacentral:rRNA from 1 species
ACUCAAAGGAAUAGACGGGGGCCCGCACAAGCGGUGGAGCAUGUGGUUUAAUUCGACGCAACGCGAAGAACCUUACCUGGGCUCGAACGGCUUCAGACCGGUGGUAGAAAUAUCGCCUUCCCCGCAAGGGGCUGGAGUCGAGGUGCUGCAUGGCUGUCGUCAGCUCGUGUCGUGAGAUGUUGGGUUAAGUCCCGCAACGAGCGCAACCCUUGUCCUGUGUUGCUAACCGCAAGGUGCACUCUCAGGAGACCGCCAGCGAUAAGUUGGAGGAAGGUGGGGAUGAUGUCAAGUCAUCAUGGCCUUUAUGUCCAGGGCUACACACGUGCUAAAAUGGACGGUACAGAGCGCUGCGAACCCGCGAGGGGAAGCUAAUCGCAAAAAACCGUUCUCAGUUCGGAUUGCAGGCUGCAACUCGCCUGCAUGAAGCUGGAAUCGCUAGUAAUGGCGUAUCAGAACGACGCCGUGAAUACGUUCCCGGGCCUUGUACACACCGCCCGU